rnacentral:lncRNA from 1 species
AGCGGAAUUUAUUUCAACAUCUAAAAUAGUCUUUGGCACGAAGGCCUCUUCAUAAUUAUCUCAUAUAAUCCAAUCUAAAAACAUAGUCAUAAAUCUUCUUAAAACAAUACGUAAGGAAUAGAAAGAGAACAUUAAAAUUCUCAUCCCGUUACGUAUCAGAGCACCUAAAGACACACAUGAGAGCUAAUCCACUCACAACAGCAAUCUAACAGCAACUUAAACUCGAUCACCUGCAAGUUACUCAUACGA